rnacentral:misc_RNA from 1 species
GAUGAAGAACGUAGCGAAAUGCGAUAAGUAAUGCGAAUUGCAGAAUCCGUGAGUCAUCGAAUCUUUGAACGCACAUUGCGCCCCUUGGUUAUUCCGAAGGGCAUGCCUGUUCGAGCGUCAUUAUCACCCCUCAAGCCCUGGCUUGGUGUUGGACUUUAGUUAUAGCUUUGCCUAUCAACUGGUCUCAAAGAUAGUGACGGCGCCCCAGAGGGAACCGGGUACGAGGAGCUUUUUACUAAGCAUGUAUCUGGGACGACUCUGGGCGACGGUCUUGUUAUACUUUUUACCUAAGUGUUGACCUCGGAUCAGGUAGGAAUACCCGCUGAACUUAAGCAUAUCAAUAAGCGGAGGA